AUUGAUUUGCUGUAUUUGAAUCUGGUCGAGCUCUCUGGUUUUGGGAGUUAUUUGUGCUAUUUUUUUCUUUUGUUUAUUGCACUUGUUCGGUUGGUAAUCCAUUUCAUGAGUGUUAGUUUUCUAUUAUUUUGAAUAAUGUCUUGGUAGAAUUUUACAUGCAUGUAUUGAUUGUACGCGAUUUGCAAUUGUCUUUUGCUACCAACUAAUCACGAGUUAAAGGUUUUACUAAAGAUAUUGGGGUAUCAAAUUGUCGCUGGAAGAUUGGGUCUCUUGAUUUGUGCUAUGUUUUUCUGUAAAAAGAACAGUAGCUUUGAGAAGUUUCUUAAACUGAUUUGGCUGGCGAGAAUUAACAGCUUUGAGAAAUUUCUUAAACUAGCCUCAUGGAAUUGAUCAUUUGAAAAAUCUGUGACUGUAUUACAUCAAGGAAAUUAGUUGUUCCUUCUGAGAGUUAUCUCUACAAUACAAGGAUUUAACUUUAUUAGCUGAUUCUAAACAUAUUUGAGCUGACCGCCUGGUAUAAUUGUGAUUCUGAUCUAUUAUCAAGGUAUUGUAGACUUUGCACAUUAAUCCAAGUAGCAGUCAUUGUGGCAAAGGUUGCUUUGCACUAGAAAUAUGUUAACAAACAGCGAUAGUUGAAAUCAUCUUCCUAAAACUUGGAUUUGUAGACAUUACGUUGUUUGAGUUAUUUCUUAAAGAUAUUUUUAAAUUUAGCAAUUCUUUUAAUCAGUUGGUCAUUGGGACAACUCUGGUGGAGAAGUUGAAGGAUUUUGUGCUAGAACUAGAGUUUUCAUAAGAGGGGAUCAUCCAGUUGAGGAUCCAGUAUUCUUGCCUUCUCCGGUGAGUGACAAUUGAGUUUUUUUUUUUCUAUAUUGUCACAGGUUGAUUGUUGUAUGUGAGCUUAUUGUACUUGAUAUGAAUUGGGUGUUAAUUAGUUUCUUGUACAAUUGAUCAGUACAUAAUUGAUGUUUAUAUUAAUAUCUUAAAAAUAUACUACAUUGUUUCCGUUCCUUGCCUCUAUAAUACUUUCUUAUAGAAUGUUAGUAACGAUGUUUUGCAAAAUCUGCAGGAAGUUGAUGGAGCAUCAUAUGAUCCUAAGUUAGAUAUAUAACAUGAAAAUUAUGCUCCCAAUUAAUUAUUAUCUGGUUCCACUUUUAUCUCUGAUUGACCAUGGAGGAUUUAUUUGUCGUGUGAUACAAGCUAAGUUUCCCUUCUUCGACUCUGCCUCCGUUUCCACUUGGCUUAUUCACAAAAAAAUGGGCUCUAUUUCUGUCAGAAAGAAGCAGAACCUUCUUCCUUGUGCGUCAUCGGAUUCUUCUCCCGCUUGAAUCAAUUCAUGUUGUAGGCGUAGUGAAUGGCGCAAUUCAUGUUGUUGCUGACUUUGGAUCUCCAUUACCCUCAAUUCGCUAUUUUGUUCUGAAUUCGGUUCUUGUUUCUCAAGAGGGGAAAAGGAACAUUGUUUUCACUGUAACAGGUAAUUUUAUAAACUUUAUUUUGACGUUAUUAAACCAUGAAUGAAUCCCCAGCUAUGUGUUUCUCCAAAUACUUCCUCCGAAUUAAAAAAAGCGUUCACUUAGCCUUUUUUUUUUGGGUCAAAAAGAGUGUCCACUCAUCAAAUCAAAAAAGAAUUAACCUUAUUUUUUCAAAUUUGACCCUAUUAAGUGCUAUGUGAUCAAAUCUCAAUACCUAUUUAAUUAGGGUAGUUUAAUCAAAUUACCUAAUUUUUGUUAGGAGUUAGUAUUUUCUUAAAGGGUGUGCAAAUGGCUACGUGGACACUCUUUUUUAUCUGGAGGGAGUAAUGUUUAUGCUUUGAAAAUAAAGCUAGAGGAAGACUACAAUGUUAAACUGAAUAAUAAAUGUUGUAGAUGUUUUCCCAGUUAUCAACGCUUCGUUUUCUUGUUCAACUUUGGUGUAAUUGAGCUGUAAGAGCUAUGUAUCUAGCCUUCAGGGUAUUGUAAUCUUUAUUCUAAUUAUUUAAUGCUCCACAGGGCAUGGCGAUUUUGCGACCAGAUUGCCCAUUAUAGUUUGGGUUUAUGGGCUUACACUUUUUCGCACUGUUUGUGGUAAAGUAAUCAAAUGGUAUCCAUUGAAUUUUACUUUGUCAUGGAACUAAAUGUUUAGGUUGCCAGAUUAUUCAGUAAUAUAUGUAGAUAAUAAAUAUGGUGUAAUACUAUAACAUACAUGAAUGAGGCUUCGAGGUGAGUGUUUUACCUCUGUUAAGCUUUUUUAUUUUACUUUGAAUAUAUAAUAUCUGCAUCAGGAUAUACUUUUUGUGUUGUACAAGGAUAAAUAUUGAUAGAAGAAGACUUAAGCUAAAGCAAUAUCUUUUGGUACAUUGAUACAGAUUUACAUUUCUUAAUAUAACUCGGAGACCAAAAGAGUUGAAAGGAAGAGCUGAUCCAAGAUCAAGAGACAUUCAGAAGCUCUUGCUUCAGUCGUGGAGUUUGGGCUAAGCAAAUAACUGAUAAUUCAUGGCAAUUUCAGAAAGUGAAUGUGGUCUUAGUUUGUCUGGAAAAUUUUGAAGUUGGGAGCAACCAUGCCACUUUCUGUGUUCACAGACUACAGACCACAUUUCUUGAAUAUAGACACUAACGCAGCAACUUGAGAGGAGGUGACAAAGAAUAUAUGUUCAAGUUGCAAAGGCAGAACAACAAUCAGACUGAAUUAGGCGAAAGGGUUGAUUUCAUAUUUCUCCUACUUGCAAGCCCUUCAGAGACACUUUUUUCGAUAGGUGGACACUACUCUGGAAUUAGUUGAAGCCUACAUGAACUGUCUACUAAUUGUGAAAUGAAUUCUGAGCUCUGAUCAAAGUCGGACCAAAAGAGUGUCUCUUCCCUUUUAAAGCUCAAGUCAGCAUAUAAUGUUACUUCAACUGAAGAUUAGCGCUCUUAAGGAGAACAUUGGAAUUACCCUUCUGUUGAAAAUAUGCUGGUUAACACCCAGAUGCAAUUUCUACAGCCAACUACAGCUGCUUGAAUCCAGAUUGUAGUCCCUUACACGAAGAACAUAAAAAAUUUCACAGCUUUUCUCUUUCUAACAAACUUGACAACGUAAUAGUAUAACUUUGUUCCGCACAAUAUGAAGCAUAUUAUCUUUAUAUAAAGCAUAUUUAACUUGAUAGUACUGGUUCCUUUUUGUUGGUUAAACUCCUAUUAAACAAAUAAGGAAGUACCUUUCGAAAGUCGAACCACUUUUAUAUAACAAAGCACGGGAUCGGGCCAUCUAGUUUUGAUAUAAGAAAAUUAUUUUUUGUUGUAGGUCAAAUUAACCCAAUAAUAAAUUUAUGUUAGGGUUUGCCCUGAAUUUUCUACAUUAUUUGGAUUCUACCAUAAUUGUGUUUUAUUUCAAAAAAGUUUUCUUGAUAGAAAAGAUUUCCUUGGUGGAAAAGAUAUCUUCUAUAUUUGAAUAAUCCUUUCUUGGAUGAAAAGUUUUCGGACUUCUAUAAAUUGAAGAUUUGUAUCUCGCACACAAAACAUAAUAGUAUCCACAAUGUAGUCGUUUAAAGAGU